UUGGCCACCGCCGGCUGCGGGCAAGGUCCCGAGCGCACGGCUUCGAGCGGCUGCUCAGGGUUGCUCCGGGUUGUGCAGCUGCCCGCCCCGGACUCAAAGUUCUAGUCUGGCCCUGGAUGGGAAGUUGGCGUGGCCGGGAUGCCUUCUAACUUUUUCCCCCGGUGGGGACUGACGUUCCUUUCGAGCUGCUGGCGGUGCCGCCGGGCAGCGUCGCGCCCCGCGGUCACUCCCCAGCCCUGGCCCCCAAGCCGGGCCCGGCGCGCGCAGCAGGUUGAGGGGGCGAGUGCCGAGACGUCCUUCUAUGGCCGCUUCAGGCACUUCUUGGAUAUCAUCGACCCUCGCACACUCUUCGUCACUGAGAGACGUCUCAGAGAGGCUGUGCAGCUGCUGGAGGACUAUAAGCAUGGGACCCUGCGCCCGGGGGUCACCAAUGAACAGCUCUGGAGUGCACAGAAAAUCAAGCAGGCUAUUCUACAUCCGGACACCAAUGAGAAGAUCUUCAUGCCAUUUAGAAUGUCAGGUUAUAUUCCUUUUGGGACGCCAAUUGUAGUCGGUCUUCUCUUGCCCAACCAGACACUGGCAUCCACUGUCUUCUGGC
rnacentral:sRNA from 1 species